AUUUUAUGGAGCCGAGUGAAGGGCACUGCGAGCUUAUGUUUAUUUCUAGUAUUAAUAUUAUGAAUUUCACAAUUUUUUCUAAUAUUUACAAUAUUUUUAUGUACAUACAGAAUAUUCUCAUAAAUGUCCCUCCUGUGCACUGUCAUUAUAUCAAUUUCCUUAAAUUUAUCUCUAAGUGAGUCUCUAUGGUUCAUUUUGUAUAUUGCUCGAAUAGCCCUCUUCUGCAGAACAAAAAUGGUAUUUAUCUCUGAAGCACCACCCCACAGUAAAAUACCAUAUGCCAUAAUGCUAUGGAAGUAACUAAAA